GUCUUUUUGAUUAUAAUUUAAAGUCUAACCUGCCCUAUGAGUUAUUAAAUGGCUGCAGUAUUUUGACUGUGCAAAGGUAGCAUAAUAAUUAGUUUUUUAAUUGGGAACUGGAAUGAAUGGUUGGACGAGAAAAAUACUGUCUCAAUUUAAAUUUAAUUAGAAUUUUAUUUUUAAGUUAAAAAGCUUAAAUGAUUUUAAAAGACGAGAAGACCCUAUAGAGUUUUAUAUAAAAUAUAAUAUUUAAAAAUUAAAGUAGAGUAUUUUAUUUAUUAUUUUUUGUAUUUAGUUGGGGUGAUUGAAAAAUUAAAGUAACUUUUUUUAUAUUAAAAUCAUAAAUUUAUGAAUAAUUGAUCCAUUAAUUAAUGAUUAAAAGAUUAAAUUACCUUAGGGAUAACAGCGUAAUUUUUUUUUAGAGUUCUAAUCGAAAAAAAAGUUUGCGACCUCGAUGUUGGAUUAAAAUUUAUUUUUGGUGCAGAAAUUAAAAGUAUUAGGUCUGUUCGACCUUUAAAAUUUUACA
rnacentral:rRNA from 1 species